CUUAGUUCCAGCAGGAGCGCGGCUUUAAUUAUUUCUCUGCACCCAGCAAGAGGUGGCCUCCAGAACUGGCUGUGACAGCCAGGCACACCCUCCAGGAAGGGGAGGGUUGUCUCCGGCAGCCGCCGACUCUCUGCCUGUGAAAACGCUGGCUCCAAUUCACAGGGUCCUGCCAGCCCCCACCCUCCAGCCCAGCUCAUGCAGAAGGCAGAGGGAAGAUCCAUACGGGAUGUGUCUAAGAGCAAGGUGCACUAGCACCCACAAAAGGUCCAGAGCCUCUUUGGAGGCUGAGGAUACAGAUCUGAGACAUCAGGAGGAGCUCAGCAUCUCUGCUGGAACUGAUGUGGGCUUCUCAGGCCUCCUCUGCCAGCUCUGGUUUUACAUGGAGUGAAACAGUGCCCGGCAUGAAUAUCGUCUCACGUCCACUCGUGAGGGAACCAACCUCUGAUAACAGAUAUCCCCACAGCACUGAGAAAAAGCCCGCUCUCCUAAUCAUGGAUGAUAUAUACAGCCAGCUAAUGCAAAAUGAAUGUUCAUGUUAUUUUUGCUUAUUUUUAAGUCCGUUGGGUGCAUCGUGGCUGAUCGCUGUUCUGACAUUUUUCUUCCCUCAUUAAGAAAGAUGCCCCCAGUGAGUUACCUGUGCCGGGCUCAGAGCAGAAAAUAAAUAUCGCUGGCAUCCACUUUCUUGUGCUCUCUGGGUGUAAUUAAGGAAAAGGCACCUGGAGAAGAGCAAAAGGAUAGAGUAGAAAAUGGGCUGGUGGGUACUGUUCACAGGAACUUCCAGUCUCUAAAGCCAUCCUAUGUCACCCCUUCUAAGACACCCUCCUACAUCUGUUGUCGGGGAAGCCCCCAUCUUUGAACGGUAAUACUCUUCUCUUUUCCACUGGGGCUUUGUUUUUCUCCCUAAAUC